rnacentral:rRNA from 1 species
AGAACGAACGCUGGCGGCAGGCUUAACACAUGCAAGUCGAACGCUCCGGCAACGGAGAGUGGCAGACGGGUGAGUAACGCGUGGGAACAUACCCUCCGGUUCGGAAUAACUCAGGGAAACUUGAGCUAAUACCGGAUACGGCUUAGCGGCGAAAGAUUGAUCGCCGGAGGAUUGGCCCGCGUUCGAUUAGCUAGUUGGUGAGGUAACGGCUCACCAAGGCGACGAUCGAUAGCUGGUCUGAGAGGAUGAUCAGCCACAUUGGGACUGAGACACGGCCCAAGCUCCUACGGGAGGCAGCAGUGGGGAAUAUUGGACAAUGGGCGCAAGCCUGAUCCAGCCAUGCCGCGUGAGUGAUGACGGCCUUAGGGUUGUAAAGCUCUUUCGCUCGGGACGAUAAUGACGGUACCGAGAUAAGAAGCCCCGGCUAACUUCGUGCCAGCAGCCGCGGUAAUACGAAGGGGGCUAGCGUUGUUCGGAAUUACUGGGCGUAAAGCGCGUGUAGGCGGGUCUUUAAGUCAGGGGUGAAAUGCCAAGGCUCAACCUUGGAACUGCCUUUGAUACUGGAGAUCUUGAGUCCGGGAGAGGUGAGUGGAACUGCGAGUGUAGAGGUGAAAUUCGUAGAUAUUCGCAAGAACACCAGUGGCGAAGGCGGCUCACUGGCCCGGAACUGACGCUGAGACGCGAAAGCGUGGGGAGCAAACAGGAUUAGAUACCCUGGUAGUCCACGCUGUAAACGAUGGAUGCUAGCCGUUGGGGAGCUUGCUCUUCAGUGGCGCAGCUAACGCUUUAAGCAUCCCGCCUGGGGAGUACGGUCGCAAGAUUAAA